rnacentral:lncRNA from 1 species
AGAAUUAAGACCGGCUGUUAUCAGGAUGUACAGUGAAAAAAUAGAUAAAUUAACCAAAAAAAAAAAAAAGACAUUUCUUCUUGGUGCACAUUUCACUUACAUUGAGAAUAAAUUCUCAACAUUGUUCUUGUCAAACUCUUUUAUGGAUUGAUUACUCGAGCACUGUCCUUAAACCUUCUCCUGGUUUAGAACUUUAAAGUCUUUGUUUUUUAAUUAAAAUAUAAUUACAUCGGCUAGAGAGAUGAUAUCAGUUAAAAGCAUGGGCUGUUCUUAUGGAGGACCUGAGUUGGAUUCUUGAUAGCCACAUAAUGAAGCUUACAAUAAUAAUAAUCCAAGACUCCAGCUCUGGGGAGAUCUGAUGCCUGUGGCCUUCAUGGGCAUCUGUAUUCUUGUGCCCACACCAACACACACACACACACACACACACACACACACACAAAUAUACAUAUAAUUAAAAACUAAAUCUAAAACCUUAAAAUAUAUAAUUUUCUCCUUUUCCUCCUAAAGAACUUUCUGUAGUGCAUUCCAGGAGAAUUAAGUCUUUAUACCCCUUGCUUAUACAGUAAUGAUGAGGAUAUUAAUUUUUAAUGAUCAUUAUUUUACAUUUAUUCAGUUUACUAAUUCCCAGGCAAUAUGCUAAGGAUUUUGUAUGUAUUCAUUCAUUAUAUUCUCUUGAUAAUCCAAUAGAGAGGGAAAUGAUUAUUUUUCCAUUUUAAUGAUUAGAAUGUUGAAACAGAAUUAAUGUUCCCAGGUUCACAGUAUUAAUUAAAGCUUUAUGGCUUCCCUGAUCAUAUUAUUAUUAUUAUGAGAUUUUAUAUGCUUAUCUUGUGUAUAUG